CUCUGGCCAUCCGGAAGAUCCCAGCCAACACAAAAUCGCAUAUGCUAGCGAAUAAGUGUACAAGGUGGAGGCGUUAUAGGUGCAUUCCUCCAUUUGACUGCGUGCAAAAUGCACGUAUAUGGCCUCCACUUUGUAAACUUAUUCGCUAUGAUAUACGAUCUUGUGUUUGCUGGGAUGCUCCCUGACGAACCAAAAUCGAGCACGACGCCACGCAAAACGUUUUCAACGUUCAACGUCAAACGCCCGUCAAAGCAGCUGAAAUAACCUAAACCCAAAUCCUUACCCCGUCCGUCCUGUAUUAAGUUUUUUAACCUUGAGUCGUCACGAGUAUUAUGGUCUAUGUCCCCUCUAUGUCCAACUAACUGUUAAGAUAAGAUGAUAUACCAUGUAAAAAUAUCAUACUUGAGAAUUGCGGCUCCGCAAAGUGUCACACACAACUGAGCCUACCAAAUAAAUGAGCUGGUUAAAAAAAAACAUCGGAAUCACCGUGUCUUGCACAUCCUAGUAUUCUAAUAUGUAUACCGAUACCUUGCUUAAGCAUAUAAGGUAGACAAAAAAUAUGCGUUUAGUUUUCUUAAUCUUCCAGUUACCCUAAACGCAACUUCCGAGAUUUUUCCGAAAGGCGAUCAUGAAUCAUCGCUGAUGGUAUCUUCGAGUUCAAGACUACUGCUGGUGCUCCAUCCUAACAGGGGGAACUACUACAACCGAUUGGAAAACCGCUUCGCCCAUAAAUGCAACCGCAACCGCAAGUAUACCCAGAGGCACUUUUAGUUAGAGGUUAGACACUGGUUAGGGGAUGUUAGUUAUGCUUCCCUUCAAGAAACAUAAAACAUAAAAAAUGUUAUGUUAUCUUUCUUUUUUUCGCGCUAUGCUGACUUGCUGACAGCUCAAAACAAAACAAAGAAAAAAGAAAAUGCGUUUUGUUUCUGAAUCAAGUCUUGAUCGUCUUGAUGGUACUGUAUCUCAGAUUCGAUAGUGCACCUGAAUUUUGCGGUUUUUUCGGGAGUAGGCAAUAGAAGCUGCUGUGGAUAAGAGCAAAAUGGAGCCAGCGAUGGACAGUGAAUCGUAUGAACUGCACCACAAAUAUUUCAUGGCGAUCGUUGCUUGAGUGCAUAAAGAUGGACUUUUGAGACCGGCGCUUGUUAAAACGGUGGUCAAAGGCCGAGAAUGACCUCGUUUCUCCAGGAGCGAAAGCAAUGCGACAAAAAAUUGAAUGCGUCAAUGCACCGAAGUGGAGAAGUCUCGUCGUGAAGCGAAAAAACGACACGACGGUUGGCUGAGGCAGGAAAAACUGCUGCGCAGAAUGAAUUCGAGUCCGUUCCGGUCACGCUGGUUGCAUCCUGAGAAGCCACGAUCCUGGAGACGGGCGCAGUCAGCCUAACGAUGGAACAGUGCAUGAAGAUGGAUACACCCAAGAUACGCAGGAUAGUUUUAGUUUAG